rnacentral:rRNA from 1 species
AAUUUUUAACCCCGAUUUAAGAAGAGCUAAAUAAAGAUAAUUAUAGAAAAUCACUAAAAUAUUACAAUUAUUUUAAUCGUGUUAUUUAGGGGUGAAACGCCUUCAAUUCUUAGGAUAACUGGAUUUAAUUAAAAUGCAUUAAGUGCAGAAUUUUUUUUGAACUUCAAAGUGUUAAGAAUUUGAAGAAAUUUUAAAAUAAGCGUAAUUUUACUAAAAGAAUUAAUUUUCUUAAUAAAAUAAAACCUUGAAAUUAAAUUUUUAUGUUUUAAAAGAUAUAAAUUAAAAAAUUUCUGAAUUAAUAGCUAUUUCUAUAAUGUUUAAAUAAGUAUUAUUACUAAUUCUUUUUUAGGAACUCGGCAAACUUUCUUUUUCGACUGUUUAACAAAAACAUAGCUUUAUGAUAUUAUAUAAAGUUUUUCCUGCCCACUGAAUUUUUUUAACGGCCGCAGUACCCUGACUGUGCUAAGGUAGCAUAAUAAAUUGGCUUUUAAUUGGAGUCUUGAAUCAACGGAUAAACGGAGAAUAGCUGUCUUAAGAGGAUUUCAUAGAAAUUAACCAAAAGGUGAAAACGCCUUUAUUUUUUUAUUAGACAAGAAGACCCUUAGAAUUUUCAGAAAAUUUUCUUUCUUCUUUUUGUUGGGGCGACAAGGUAACAUAUAACUUACCUACAGAGUUUGUACAAAUCAAUAAUAAUACUUUUGAUUAAAUUACCUGAGGGAUAACAGCAUAAUAAUUUUUAUUGUUUGUGACCUCGAUGUUGGAUUAGGAUUUUAUUUAACUAGCCGUUAUGUAAUGUAGUUCUGUUCGAACUUUUCUUCCUACAUGAUCUGAGUUCAGACCGGCGUGAGCCAGGUCAGAUU